CAUGUCUUUUUGAAUUUAAUAUAAAGUCUAAUCUGCUCAAUGAUGAAUUAAAUUGCCGCAGUAUUUUAACUGUGCAAAGGUAGCAUAAUAAUUAGCUUUUUGAUUAGAAGCUGGAAUGAAUGAUUGGACGAGAAUAUAACUGUCUCUUUUUAAAUUUUUAUUGAAUUUUAUUUUUAAGUUAAAAAGCUUAAAUUUUUAUAAAAGACGAGAAGACCCUAUAGAGUUUAAUAUAUUUUAGUUAUUAUUUUUUAGAAAAUUUUUUAAUUAUUUUAUAUUUAGUUGGGGUGACUUAAAGAUUAAAUAAAUUCUUUAAAUUUUAAAUUGAUGAUAAUUAAUUUUAGUAUCUAAAUUUUUUAAAUUUAAAAUAAAUUACCUUAGGGAUAACAGCGUUAUUUUUCUUUAAAGCUCAUAUUGAAAGAAAAGUUUGCGACCUCGAUGUUGGAUUAAAAUAAAUUUUUGGUGCAGUAACUUAAAAAUUUGGUCUGUUCGACCUUUAAUAUUUUACAUGAUCUGAGUUUAAACCGGUGUAAGCCAGGUUGGAUUCUAUCUUUAGAAUUUAAAUAUAUUUUAGUACGAAAGGACCAGAUAUAUAUUAUAUAUUAAUUG
rnacentral:rRNA from 1 species